UACGUAGGGUCCGAGCGUUGUCCGGAUUUACUGGGCGUAAAGCGCGCGCAGGCGGCGGUGCUGGCCCGGCGUGAAAGCCCCCGGCUCAACCGGGGAGGGUCGUCGGGGACCGCACCGCUUGAGGGCGGUAGGGGCUGGUGGAAUGCCUGGUGUAGAGGUGAAAUUCGUAGAUAUUCGCAAGAGCACCAGUGGCGAAGGCGGCUCACUGGCCCGGUACUGACGCUGAGGUGCGAAAGCGUGGGGAGCAAACAGG
rnacentral:rRNA from 1 species